rnacentral:rRNA from 1 species
CAGUCGCCGCGGGAAUACGUAGGGUGCGAGCGUUAAUCGGAAUUACUGGGCGUAAAGCGUGCGCAGGCGGUUCGUUAAGACAGAUGUGAAAUCCCCGGGCUUAACCUGGGAACUGCAUUUGUGACUGGCGAGCUAGAGUAUGGCAGAGGGGGGUAGAAUUCCACGUGUAGCAGUGAAAUGCGUAGAGAUGUGGAGGAAUACCGAUGGCGAAGGCAGCCCCCUGGGCCAAUACUGACGCUCAUGCACGAAAGCGUGGGGAGCAAACAGGAUUAGAUACCCGCGUAGUCCCUGUCUCUUAUAC